UACAGAGGGGGCAAGCGUUGUUCGGAAUUACUGGGCGUAAAGGGCGCGUAGGCGGCCUGCUAAGUCGAACGUGAAAUCCCUGGGCUCAACCCAGGAACUGCGUCCGAUACUGGUUGGCUUGAAUCCGGGAGAGGGACGUGGAAUUCCAGGUGUAGCGGUGAAAUGCGUAGAUAUCUGGAGGAACACCGGUGGCGAAGGCGACGUCCUGGACCGGCAUUGACGCUGAGGCGCGAAAGCCAGGGGAGCAAAGCGGGG
rnacentral:rRNA from 1 species